UUGUUGAUCAUGGACAUAUCAAGAGUUAUUAGUUUAAAGUAACGGUAUUAACCUGAUUACAUGCAGGUCCAUUUUGUACCAACGUUUUCUGCUGCUCAUCAUCCAAACUGGUGCAUUAUAUAGCAUAAGAUCACCUCAACCGACCCAGAUUUCUAGGAAGAUUGUAGUAGUUGGUUUGGAGAUAAUGGGUCUAAAAAUAAGGAGAAAACUUGCAAGAGGAGUGGAGAUCAUGGGCCUAAAUUUCUG
rnacentral:lncRNA from 1 species